rnacentral:misc_RNA from 1 species
GAUGAAGAACGUAGCGAAAUGCGAUACUUGGUGUGAAUUGCAGAAUCCCGUGAACCAUCGAGUCUUUGAACGCAAGUUGCGCCCGAAGCCAUUAGGCCGAGGGCACGCCUGCCUGGGCGCCACACGUCGUUGCCCCCCCAUCUACUCCUUCGGGAUUGCGGGGGGCGGAUGAUGGCCUCCCGUGCGCCUCGCCGCGCGGUUGGCAUAAAUGCCAAGUCCUCGGCGACGCACGCCACGACAAUCGGUGGUUGCGAAACCUCGGUUGCCCGUCGUGUGCGGUCGUCGCGCAUCGAGGGCUCGAAAAAAUUGCCGGGUUCCGGCUCGGCUUUCAACGCGACCCCAGGUCAGGCGGGGUUACCCGCUGAAUUUAAGCAUAUCAAUAAGCGGAGGA